rnacentral:rRNA from 1 species
UCCUACGGGAGGCAGCAGUGGGGAAUCUUAGACAAUGGGGGCAACCCUGAUCUAGCCAUGCCGCGUGAGUGAUGAAGGCCUUAGGGUCGUAAAGCUCUUUCGCCUGUGAUGAUAAUGACAGUAGCAGGUAAAGAAACCCCGGCUAACUCCGUGCCAGCAGCCGCGGUAAUACGGAGGGGGUUAGCGUUGUUCGGAAUUACUGGGCGUAAAGCGCGCGUAGGCGGAUUAGAAAGUUGGGGGUGAAAUCCCGGGGCUCAACCUCGGAACUGCCUCCAAAACUGCUAGUCUAGAGUUCGAGAGAGGUGAGUGGAAUUCCGAGUGUAGAGGUGAAAUUCGUAGAUAUUCGGAGGAACACCAGUGGCGAAGGCGGCUCACUGGCUCGAUACUGACGCUGAGGUGCGAAAGUGUGGGGAGCAAACAGGAUUAGAUACCCUGGUAGUCCACACCGUAAACGAUGAAUGCCAGUCGUCGGGUAGUAUACUAUUCGGUGACACACCUAACGGAUUAAGCAUUCCGCCUGGGGAGUACGGUCGCAAGAUUAAAACUCAAAGGAAUUUGACGGGGA